rnacentral:tRNA from 1 species
GGAGAGAUGCUGGAGUGGCCGAACAGGCUAGUCUUGAAAACUAGUAUGGUGGUAACACCAUCGUGGGUUCGAAUCCCACUCUCUCCG